rnacentral:rRNA from 1 species
GACGAACCGUGCGAACGUUGUUCGGAAUCACUGGGCUUAAAGGGCGCGUAGGCGGGCGACCAAGUCAGGGGUGAAAUCUUUCGGCUCAACCGGAAAAUAGCUUCUGAUACUGGCCGUCUGGAGGGAGGUAGGGGUCUGUGGAACUUCUGGUGGAGCGGUGAAAUGCGUAGAUAUCAGAAGGAACGCCGGUGGCGAAAGCGACGGACUGGACCUCUUCUGACGCUGAGGCGCGAAAGCUAGGGGAGCAAACGGG